ensembl:lncRNA
GGGUGUUCAGCAGGAGACUUAAUACCACAGCUAUGGAUCCUACCCGGUACUUACCAAGUGAACAAAAGGAGUUUACCAGAAAAUAUAGUUCAUACCCUCCUAUUUUUAUUCCAGUGACAUUCAUACCUCAAGUCGAAUUUUGUUCUAGGAAGGUAAGCCUACAGAAUAUAACAAAAGAAAGAUAUAUGCAAUACAUAACAUGUAAAGUAAGAUCUACUCAUUGUUUUAAAUUUUGUAUUACACUUUGAUAGAGUUUGACUUUGAUUAUCACAUGCUUGGAAGUUCUGUCAGGUACAUAACAAAUGGUGGUUACGUUUUAGUUGGCAGUAUUUUAUAUAUUUAUUAGAAAAAAUGUGAAAUUUUCUACUGCUUUUUCUUCAGCUACAACACAACAGCUUUUGGAGUAAUGUUUGUAGCUGGAAAGAAUAGAAUGGAGAAUAAGCUUCCUCAGGCUUUUCUUGUUACCUCCAUACUUGGCACGUCUCUUGCAGCCCUUCUGUUACAGAGGGGCCUGAGGAAGUUGAGUAGAAUAAGUGGAGAAAAAGGAAAUACAUAUUACUACUUACCCACUACGGGUUUUCUUCAUAAAAAAAAUACUGUAAAACAGUAAUUAUGGAUUUCACUCUUAAAGAUGUGCUUAAUGUUUACUAUAAAUGUCAGCAAAAAGAUAUCAUUGUGCUGGGUCAUUUGGAAAAGCAUCUUUGAUUUUCAGUUUGCAAUUGAUAAGAGUGUUGCUAAUACACAAGCCAGGAUAAAGUUUACUGUAAUAAAUAUACUGAAAAUAUAUUCACCUUCACUUUUUUUUUUUUAAUAGACUUUAAGGAGUAAUCCUUCAGAUGUAGCUGGAGAGGCAUUUUUAAUCAGUAAAAAUAGUAUGGUAACUUCAUAUCUGUUACUUCCUCCUCACUUUCAUGCAUUAUUUAGCUAUAAAUGCUUUUAACAGCACAGAGUGCUUCUGUCAUUGUGGCACAGAAAUUAGUUUUAGUUUCUCAGUACAAAUCUUCCUGGUCCAAUUUAUGACCAUGUGCCUCUGUUUUCUAUUUAAAACAAUCUACACUGAAAUGUUUUGUAGUUUUUAAUGGUAACUUCCCU